GCAGCAGUGGGGAAUAUUGGACAAUGGGGGCAACCCUGAUCCAGCGACGCCGCGUGUGUGAAGAAGGCCUGCGGGUUGUAAAGCACUUUUAGUGGGGAUGAAAAGUACAUCGCUAAUACCGGUGUAUCUUGACCUAACCCAAAGAAAAAGCACCGGCUAACUCUGUGCCAGCAGCCGCGGUAAUACAGAGGGUGCGAGCGUUAAUCGGAAUUACUGGGCGUAAAGCGUGCGUAGACGGUUAUUUAAGUCGGGUGUGAAAGCCCCGGGCUCAACCUGGGAAUUGCAUUCGAGACUGAAUAGCUAGGGUACGGUAGAGGGAAGUGGAAUUUCCGGUGUAGCGGUGAAAUGCGUAGAUAUCGGAAGGAACAUCAGUGGCGAAAGCGACUUCCUGGACCAGUACCGACGUUCAGGCACGAAAGCGUGGGGAGCAAACAGGAUUAGAUAC
rnacentral:rRNA from 1 species